AUGAGUAUCACUUGAAUCAACAACGUAAAUUACAGCUUGAGUAUUUGGAAAAUAAUAUGGUCAUAAAUAAACAAGCAAAUACAGAGCAAGCAAUUAAGGGGGAUGACCACACAAUAAAAGCAGCCAACAUGAGAACCCCUAGAAGAAAUAGAGUUUGUGGAGCAGAAGCACUUUGUGGAAUUAGACAGUCUGGAAGAUUCACAAAUAUGGUUUUAGAAGCAGAUUUGACAAGAAAAUGGAGUUUUACAAAUAGGUUGUCCAAAUUUCACUAAAAUUUAAAGAAUUACCAUUUGCACCACAAAAGCAAAAACACCCACCAAACCAUUAAUUCCGACAAAAGGCAACUAAAAUACUUAAUUCUUUGAUAUUUUAAAGCAUUAGUAAAAGUCAAAACUUGAAAAUUUUCCGUUCAGAGUCCAAAUUCCCCGUUCAGCAUGUGUAUAUUCAUUUUUAAGACCAAAUUUUGCAUCAAAAAUUAUUAAAACAAUAAUACAUUUACCGUCCUAACUAUCGAAAUUGAGGAAUUGAGAAUGUGUGGUAUGGCUCACCACUGUUCACGCGCAUACCAGAUUAUUCUUUUCAGAUCUCCUUCCCUAUCGACUUUUGGCGGAAAUAUAUGCUGACGAAGAAGGGCGGUGUGACAAGGUGUUGCCGGUUUCGGAGAUACCGUGGUUAGAGGAGAUAGCACUGGCAUCUCUCAAUUCCUCACUCAAAUCGCGAUUAUAGGGUGGGGAAAUCAACAAUCCAUUAGGAUUUUGAGAAAAGAAGAAUAUGGCAAGUGGCGACGACCUCACGACGGCCGGAUAGAGUGAGAAGUUUCAGUCCAGAAAGGCACUCUUGUACUUCAUUGUUUGGUGGGUGGAAUAUAUACAAACUUCUUUUUGACUCAUU
rnacentral:misc_RNA from 1 species